rnacentral:rRNA from 1 species
UAUUGUAGAAUAUUGUUGUCGUCGAGUCAUUAUUGCCACUACGUCUGGUCCUUUGGGCAGAAUAGUGUUGUAUAUUUUGUCUUGUCAACACAAAAUUCUUCACAAUAUUGUAGCCGUACUUGAUUGUAUGCGCUAUUCAUGUAUAUGUGGUUAGUCAACACCAGUUCGGCUGCUUGCACACAUCGCCAUCUCAACAUGAUCAGUCAGGCUGCUAGAGACCUUGUGUCUUGCCCCAAAGGUUGAUUAACACCGUGAGUGCAACGAGUGAGAUUGCAAGCCUUGUUAUGUAGUGAACAACAUAUACCUACUACUACUACUUUGUAGUAAUGUAGGAUUCCAACUACACACAGAAUAACCAUUAAGGUGAAAUGAACUCCAGCGACUGC